rnacentral:misc_RNA from 1 species
GGAGGUGGAGAAUAGUUGCAAACCUGAUACAUGACAAUGAUGUCAAGGAAAAUAUUAGAAGAGAUGCUAUGUAGCGACAGCGGAACAGGAUGAAAAAAUUACUACUCUAUUCAAAACAUACAUACACACAACAGCUACGGCUAUGACGUAGGAUUUUUUUUGGACUAAUUAAUGAAAAAAACCAUUACUUUCGUGUGAAUAAUCAAUUUUAUCCAUAUCUUUUAAUUCUAUCAACUCUACCCUCACCCUUCAGGAUUGGUUUCAAUUUUAUCAAGUAAUUUCAAAUUGACAAAAAAAAAUGUUAUUUUAUCAUUGCAUCAUAUAAAAUAUUAAUUUUUUAGUCAAAAUCAUUCUACAAGUAAUCAACAUUUAAUUAUACAACAGCUCCAAAGCAAAAAUUUAACUAAUGACCAGACUAAGAUACCAUCAAAUACACCAAUGAUUGCCUCACUCCACACUCCGGACUCAAGAGUGUGUGAACUGAGAAACAUCUCAGACAAAAAUAAUAUCAUUUCUGUAAGCAAAGGAAAAAGUAUCACAAUGACAUUAGAAUUGUUGAGGUUCUUAUUUCUGAGGGCAUUUGCCUUCUCUCAACCCUCAAAUCUGUAACCUGAGAGCCAUUCCAUAGCCUAAUUCAUCAAGAUCCAGAUGCCGCUCAUUAAAACACCCUACCAUUCCUUCUUCCAUUAAACUUUCCCAGUUCAUACUUUAUCAUGAAAAAAUCCUCAGCAUAUCUUCAUUGCUCACCGAGGUUGGUUGCAGAGCCAAGAUUGAGGAGACUCCUGACGAAGUCGGAUAGAGUGACGGCCACUUGGAUGAGAUUUGGCAUCAAAGCUAGAUUUGAGAAUCUUGUAGUGUUUCGGAGGGGCAGAGUUGAUCAGAGUUCAGCGUUGUGGUGUCUUGGAGAGGACAGAAAAUGAGAUAGCAAGCUUGGGAAUUCAGUUUCCAUGGAAUUUUGAAUUGAAAGGAAACUUAUGGAUGGGUGCAGGGAAUUCAUGGGUUGGGUAGAGAGUGGUAGUUGGUCUCUUCAUCUACUAAAGUGGCAGCCAAGUUUAGAGAGAGAUAGAGAGAAGGAAGGAAGAAAGGAGAGAAAAGGAUUGAAAUAUAAUUUUAAUUAAAAAUAUACAUUUUUUCUUGUAAAUAAUAUCUUAUUUGAUUCGGAAAUAAAAUAUAUAUAUAUUUUUGAAUUUUACAAAACUGAUUGAUAAAAUUGCAACCAAUCUUAAAGGAUGAGAGUAGAAUUGAUAAAUUAAAAGGAUUUGCUAAAAUUGCUAAAAUUGAUAAUUUGCAGAGGUCAUGUUUUUAUUGUUCACUUAGGCUUUUUUUCUUUACUUAAAAUGAUUCAAAAUGGUACUGCAAAUUCCAAACCAGUACCCUCUUCCAUAGGUACCGGCACAUCAACUGAUAAACAAUGAGGCAGAACUUCAUCUGUGCUUUUUGUAAAAGACAAGCCAACAUCUGCUACAGAAAUUGAAAAGCAUCAACCAUUGAGAGUAUAAGUGCGAGGAGGGAGAGAGAGCAAAAACGUUACCAUAAAGUCCUGGUAUUCAAUG